GAUGAACGCUGGCGGCGUGCCUAAUACAUGCAAGUCGAGCGAACAGACGAGGAGCUUGCUCCUCUGACGUUAGCGGCGGACGGGUGAGUAACACGUGGAUAACCUACCUAUAAGACUGGGAUAACUUCGGGAAACCGGAGCUAAUACCGGAUAAUAUAUUGAACCGCAUGGUUCAAUAGUGAAAGACGGUUUUGCUGUCACUUAUAGAUGGAUCCGCGCCGCAUUAUCUAGUUGGUAAGGUAACGGCUUACCAAGGCAACGAUGCGUAGCCGACCUGAGAGGGUGAUCGGCCACACUGGAACUGAGACACGGUCCAGACUCUUACGGGAGGCAGCAGUAGGGAAUCUUCCGCAAUGGGCGAAAGCCUGACGGAGCAACGCCGCGUGAGUGAUGAAGGUCUUCGGAUCGUAAAACUCUGUUAUUAGGGAAGAACAAAUGUGUAAGUAACUAUGCACGUCUUGACGGUACCUAAUCAGAAAGCCACGGCUAACUACGUG
rnacentral:rRNA from 1 species